AUACGGAGGGUCCAAGCGUUAUCCGGAAUCAUUGGGUUUAAAGGGUGCGCAGGCGGAUAAUUAAGUCAGUGGUGAAAUCCUCCCGCUCAACGGGAGAACUGCCAUUGAUACUGAUAAUCUGGAAUACGGUUGAAGUGGGCGGAAUGUAGCAUGUAGCGGUGAAAUGCAUAGAGAUGCUACAGAACACCGAUCGCGAAGGCAGCUCACUAAGCCGGUAUUGACGCUCAGGCACGAAAGCGUGGGUAGCGAACAGGAUUAGAAACCCUUGUAGUCC
rnacentral:rRNA from 1 species